rnacentral:rRNA from 1 species
GUGGGGAAUCUUCCGCAAUGGACGAAAGUCUGACGGAGCGACGCCGCGUGAGUGAAGAAGGUCUUCGGAUUGUAAAGCUCUGUUAAUCGGGACGAAAGAGCCUAGUGUGAAUAAUGCUAGGAAGUGACGGUACCGGAAUAGAAAGCCACGGCUAACUACGUGCCAGCAGCCGCGGUAAUACGUAGGUGGCAAGCGUUGUCCGGAAUUAUUGGGCGUAAAGCGCGCGCAGGCGGAUCUGCCAGUCUGUCUUAAAAGUUCGGGGCUUAACCCCGUGAUGGGAUGGAAACUACAGAUCUAGAGUAUCGGAGAGGAAAGUGGAAUUCCUAGUGUAGCGGUGAAAUGCGUAGAUAUUAGGAAGAACACCAGUGGCGAAGGCGACUUUCUGGACGAAAACUGACGCUGAGGCGCGAAAGCCAGGGGAGCGAACGGGAUUAGAAACCCGGGUAGUCC